rnacentral:misc_RNA from 1 species
CCGUCACUUUCAUGCCAUGAAACCCACAUGAGCAUUCCUGAUUCAUCCAGCACCAUUCGAAACAGAACAGAACUAUCAUCAAGAGAGUAGGAAAAGGAUAUCUUUGUUAACGAAGCUGAAGUUGUAUAUAAUUGGUAUUGGUCUCCAUGGCCAUGGUGUGCCUCGCCAGUAAGGUUUGGAGCCCUCGUACAGAAAAAAUUGUGGUGAGCCAAUUGGGUUGAGCUUCAGUAAGUAGACACCAAUUCCAGGAUCAUCUGUUGAUCUCCACGAUGUCAGGAACCAGUUCAGACCUGUUUUACGGUCAAGCCCAAGUUUCAUUCCUGGUAGAAAAGUAUUAGUAGGAUAAUCAAAGCUCUGCCAUACAAUUCUUCCACUUAUACCUUGGACCAGAACCAAAUUUCCCGAAUCCAAGAGGUGAGCUACACAAGCAUCUGCUACAUCCAUUGAAACAUUUGUAGACCAUACUGGAACUUCUUCAUCUCUAUUACCGUAUAGAACAAGAUUUCCAUAUUGGUUGAUGGAAAGAAC